AAACCAAACGAAGAAGCUGCUUCAAGGAAGAGGGAGCGAUCAACUCCUUAUUCUGACCGUGGCGUCAUAGUUGCAAAUUCUCAGACCUGGGUUUUCAGGGCUAAGAUCAGCGCAGAUGAAGUUCCCUUCCUAGUGGCCCUGCUCCCAACAGUCUAUCUGUGCCUCCACCGUGGCACCUACGACUUUGAACACCGUUCUGCAGCUAUGGACAUACAAGGUAACCUUUCCUUCCUCUUGCUUCUCUCCUAAAAUGGCUCCUCAGUAUAUGAGAGAAGAGAACUUUGUGUCCCUGGCUUGUCCUGGAAUGGAGAGUCCAGCCAGUUCUCCAACAGAAGAGGAAUGUAGGAUAUGACAAGACGAGGAAAUGGUGAGAUCGGCCUUUGCCACCCCAAGAAGGGAGAGGUAGGGUUUUCUGGCUUGGUGUAACCCAAAUAGCAAAAUCUGCUACUUUCCCCCUGGAUUGUCCCAAGGUAGCCGCGGUCCAGAGUCUCCCUUUGUCGUCAUUCAUCCCCUUACUGACAGACAUUUUCACCUGCACUACGGCAGGAUAACCAGCCAGUUUAGAGACUUGUUUGGCAUCUUUCUAAAGUGCUUCAUUAGUACAUGUGUUUGACUGUCCCCAUGGUGCUGGGCGGAGGGUGAGACCCUGGCUGGGUGCUUGUGUCUGGGUGUCUGCUGGCUGCAAUCUGCUGAUCUCUUCCC
rnacentral:lncRNA from 1 species